AACAUUUAUUUAAACCGGUUUUAUUAACCGACUAACUGCCACCUGAUCGAUAACAAAAAACAAAAACACAAACAAACAACAAGCUGAUUGAGCCGGCGGCCGUGCUUUUCUCCCGAAUUUCGCGUUUUGCAGACGAUCGGCGGGGAUGCAGCGGCUGUUGCACCGCUGCGGGCGCUGCUGUCGGCGCCGCCGGACAAGGCCAUGCUCGGCAAGCGGCGGAAAAAGAGCGGCGACACGUUGAGCAAGUGCUAAAAGGCGCUCGAAAAUGAGAACUGCGACAACAACAUCGCCAAAAGGUGGUACAUUGAGAGCCGCGAGCAAUUAUUGCUGCCGGUGGCUGGUGACUGCGGCUCCUUCUGGCCUGGCGGCAGGUCUCUCAUCUCAAAGGUUCGACUUGAGGACCAGGGAAAGUAUUUGUGCUGGAUGAAUAACUCCACUGGCGAGGAGACGGGGACGGCUCGCAGCAUCGGGUCGUUGAAGUCAAAAAGGCGGCAGUGUUCAGAAGGGUGAGUGAAGCCGUUUCGUGAGGAGCUCGUGGACCUGCUGAGGGUUGACCCUGAUUGGCAGAAGCAGCAAGUGCGGAGGAAAGACACCCUGGGCAGCACCUCGCAGGUGGAGCAGCAGCAGCACCGCGACUCCAACUCGUCGUCGUCCGAGACGUCGGUGUCGAUCUGCCGAGAGUCGGACCCUUCGCCGAAGGGCCAGGUGCGCACCAGCAGCCACACUGACGAGACCACCUUCAGUUUUGUGGCGUCGAAGUGAGCAUCGGGCCGCUUUUCCGACUUGGGCCACAAGUUGAGAGCCGAGCGAGGCCGAGUGUCGCGUCGCCUCACCAGAGGGACACCACCUUCCUAACCAACGUCUAGCAUUUUCUGUGAUUCACCCCUUCCCACCCUAAUGCACCACUCAAAAAUAAAUUCACUGCGUUGAU